GGAACCAGAUCUUGAUCUGGCGCUCGGACAGGCAGAGUGCGUGGGCGAUCUCGAUGCGCCGUCGCCGGGUCAGGUUGCUUGUCUGGAGAUGGAGCCACUACGGGCAGGGCCUGGGCGCCUGGAGUCGGGCAUGAAAGAAAAUAGCGCCUCAUCGCUCUUAUCUAAGCCCAGAGGUCGACUUCGCUUGAAAAGAUCGAGAAUGGAGGAGGGGAUCGGCACUCACUUGCAGACAUCAACAGUUUCCAGAAAAUUCGGUUCAAUUCCUUCACCACGGACCCACCAACCAAGGAGCUGGCAAAACCCGCUAACCAACCAGGAGAACACAGACCCGGUUUGUCUUUUGACAACCGAGUGGAACUGACGGGGCCGGCGCCUGCCCUGCGGGUCCCCUCCCUUGGCUGAGAAGAAAACCAAAUAAACCUUGAACAGCCUUGGC
rnacentral:antisense_RNA from 1 species